GAUAUUUUUUAUCCUAGAACUUGGAAUAUUCUUGACAAUAAAUCAAGAGAUAUUCUCAUUGAAAAAGGACCUACAAGGGAGUACAAUCUUGUGUUUCCCGUGGAUAAGAAAGGCAGGCAUUUUUCAUAUGCUUACUACUCAAGACAGCUAAGGAAUGGUGAGGCCAGUGAUCGGAGGUGGUUAGUGUACUCUAAACAUGUGAAUAAAGUUUAUUGUUUUUGCUGCAAAUUGUUCAAAUCUGAGAACAGCAAAAGUUUGCUAGCAUCCGAGGGAUUGAUGGAUUGGAAACAUCUUAGUGAGAAGCUCAAAUUACAUGAGAAUGGUGCUGAGCACAUCACUAACAUGAAUACUUGGAAUGAGGUAAGGUUGAGGCUAAGUAAGAAGGAAACAAUUGAUAAAGAUUUGCAAGGGAGAAGAAGCGAUGGAGACAAGUUUUGA
rnacentral:rRNA from 1 species